UUUCCGUAGGUGAACCUGCGGAAGGAUCAUUAUUGUAUAGCCGAGGUGCGAGAUCUGUCGCUCACUCGACAGCUCUUGCACGCCCGAGUGACCUCACACGCAUCCCUCUCAACCCUUUGUGAACCACCGGGUGUGUCCCCCUUUGGCUUGUUCGGAGGGGGGCUUACGUUGUCACAUAAACUUUGUAUGCAGUGUAGAAUGUAUUUUUUGUGUUUGCGCUCACGCAAUCAAUACAACUUUCAACAACGGAUCUCUUGGCUCUC
rnacentral:misc_RNA from 1 species